rnacentral:rRNA from 1 species
AACGAACGCUGGCGGCGUGCUUAACACAUGCAAGUCGAACGGAAAGGCCCUGCUUUUGUGGGGUGCUCGAGUGGCGAACGGGUGAGUAACACGUGAGUAACCUGCCCUUGACUUUGGGAUAACUUCAGGAAACUGGGGCUAAUACCGGAUAGGAGCUCCUGCUGCAUGGUGGGGGUUGGAAAGUUUCGGCGGUUGGGGAUGGACUCGCGGCUUAUCAGCUUGUUGGUGGGGUAGUGGCUUACCAAGGCUUUGACGGGUAGCCGGCCUGAGAGGGUGACCGGCCACAUUGGGACUGAGAUACGGCCCAGACGCCUACGGGAGGCAGCGGGGGGGAAUAUUGCACAAUGGGCGGAAGCCUGAUGCAGCAACGCCGCGUGCGGGAUGACGGCCUUCGGGUUGUAAACCGCUUUCGCCUGUGACGAAGCGUGAGUGACGGUAAUGGGUAAAGAAGCACCGGCUAACUACGUG